ACGCUGGCGGCAGGCCUAACACAUGCAAGUCGAGCGGAAACGAGUUAUCUGAACCUUCGGGGAACGUUAAGGGCGUCGAGCGGCGGACGGGUGAGUAAUGCCUAGGAAAUUGCCCUGAUGUGGGGGAUAACCAUUGGAAACGAUGGCUAAUACCGCAUGAUGCCUACGGGCCAAAGAGGGGGACCUUCGGGCCUCUCGCGUCAGGAUAUGCCUAGGUGGGAUUAGCUAGUUGGUGAGGUAAUGGCUCACCAAGGCGACGAUCCCUAGCUGGUCUGAGAGGAUGAUCAGCCACACUGGAACUGAGACACGGUCCAGACUCCUACGGGAGGCAGCAGUGGGGAAUAUUGCACAAUGGGCGCAAGCCUGAUGCAGCCAUGCCGCGUGUGUGAAGAAGGCCUUCGGGUUGUAAAGCACUUUCAGUCGUGAGGAAGGUGGURKHGUUAAUAGCWSYAUYAUUUGACGUUAGCGACAGAAGAAGCACCGGCUAACUCCGUGCCAGCAGCCGCGGUAAUACGGAGGGUGCGAGCGUUAAUCGGAAUUACUGGGCGUAAAGCGCAUGCAGGUGGUUUGUUAAGUCAGAUGUGAAAGCCCGGGGCUCAACCUCGGAAUAGCAUUUGAAACUGGCAGACUAGAGUACUGUAGAGGGGGGUAGAAUUUCAGGUGUAGCGGUGAAAUGCGUAGAGAUCUGAAGGAAUACCGGUGGCGAAGGCGGCCCCCUGGACA
rnacentral:rRNA from 1 species